UACGUAGGGGGCGAGCGUUGUCCGGAAUGACUGGGCGUAAAGGGCGCGUAGGCGGCCGUUUAAGUUAGGAGUGAAAGUCCAGCAUUUAAUGUUGGAAUUGCUUUUAAUACUGGAUGGCUAGAGUGCGGAAGAGGUAAGUGGAAUUCCCGGUGUAGCGGUGAAAUGCGUAGAGAUUGGGAGGAACACCAGUGGCGAAGGCGACUUACUGGGCCGUAACUGACGCUGAGGCGCGAAAGCGUGGGGAGCGAAC
rnacentral:rRNA from 1 species